AAGGAGAAUUUAUACAAGGGCAAAGUAAGGCCGACGGGAGAAUUUUAAUUGAGGAGUAAACGUAUCAGAUUAAGCAAUAGGGUGGAGGCGUGCUGAUCAGAGUCGAUGCUACUUAAGUAAAUAAGUGUGGAUCUCUCGACGCUUCGUGUCUUCCUACGCGAAGUCGUUUUCUGGACUUUUUCCGCUGCAGUUUGUUAAGAGAGUAUAAUGAACUCUCAUCAUCGAAACUCUGAUUCAUUUUGAUGAAAUGCCAUUGUUAUUCAAAUCCUUGUAAUCGAAUACUUGGAUCUUAUCUAUCAUAUUGUUUGACUUUUCAAUGUGCAAGUUCUAUCUUCAUUUCUUCCA